CCUAAAACUCAGUGCCCAGGUCCAUUGGGAUAACAAGGCAUUUUCUAAUCUGAUUUACAAAGACACCAGUAUGACAUGGCAGAGAAAUAAAAAGGGGGCAGGGCAGGGGGACACAGGCCUCGAACCCGCCGCAGGUUUUCUCUGCGUUCCGGUGACUCCCGGCGGUCUGUGCUCUGGGUGCUGAGCAGGUGUUUUCUGUUCUCUCGCCAGCUGCACGGCUACUUGGAGAAUGAGCCGCUGAUGUUGCAGCUUUUCAUUGGGACGGCGGACGACCGCCUGCUGCGCCCGCACGCCUUCUACCAGGUGCACCGCAUCACAGGGAAGACCGUGUCCACCACCAGCCACGAGGCCAUCCUCUCCAACACCAAAGUCCUGGAGAUCCCACUCCUGCCGGAGAACAGCAUGCGAGCCGUCAUUGACUGUGCCGGAAUCCUGAAACUCAGAAACUCCGACAUUGAACUUCGGAAAGGAGAGACGGACAUCGGGAGGAAGAACACACGGGUACGGCUGGUGUUCCGCGUUCACGUC
rnacentral:sRNA from 1 species